rnacentral:rRNA from 1 species
UACGUAGGGGGCAAGCGUUGUCCGGAAUUAUUGGGCGUAAAGCGCGCGCAGGCGGUCAUUUAAGUCUGGUGUAUAAUCCUGGGGCUCAACCCCAGGUCGCACUGGAAACUGGAUGACUUGAGUGCAGAAGAGGAGAGUGGAAUUCCACGUAUAGCGGUGAAAUGCGUAGAGAUGUGGAGGAACACCAGUGGCGAAGGCGACUCUCUGGGCUGUAACUGACGCUGAGGCGCGAAAGCGUGGGGAGCAAACAGG